GACGAACCGUGCGAACGUUAUUCGGAAUCACUGGGCUUAAAGCGCGUGUAGGCGGGGCGGCACGUCGGCCGUUGAAAGCCCCCGGCUCAACCGGGGAAGCGGCGCCGAUACGACCGUCCUGGAGGGACGUAGGGGGACCUGGAACUUCCGGUGGAGCGGUGAAAUGCGUUGAGAUCGGAAGGAACGCCCGUGGCGAAAGCGAGGUCCUGGACGUUUUCUGACGCUGAGACGCGAAAGCCAGGGGAGCGAACGGG
rnacentral:rRNA from 1 species